AGAAGGAAGCUCAGUGUGAUGGCCCUGGGUUCAAUCUCCAGUACUGGAAGAAAAGAAAAGCAGGGGAGGUGGCAGACAUCUGUUACAUUAACACUCUGAGAGGCUGAGGCAGGAAUAUGUAAAGUUCAAACUCAGCCUGGGUAAUUUAGCGACUUGAGACCCUGUCUGAAAAAAAAUUAACUUUUAAAAGGCCGGGGACGUAGCUCAGUGUGAAGGGGCUAGGGUCAAUCCCCAGUGCCACCAAGGAAAAGAAAGACAAGGAGAAAAAGCCAGUACACACCAGGUUCUUCCAACUCCUCAUCCGAUGUUACCUUUUCCGGAUUCUCCUUCCAGAUCGUGACUGGAGCACACGUUGUGCGCAUGUUAAGACUGCACGUUAAGAUCCCCACCUCCGCGCACUUCCCUCCAUCGAGACCCCUCAACCCUGGGCGCCCCGCGGCGGCGCAUCUCAGCAUCCCUCAGUCGAACCUCUAACCCGGUUCUGCCUCUCCCGAGAACGUCACCGAAACCGAUCUCCAAAAUGUCACACUGGCCUCCCCGACCCGAGCAUCCUGCUCAGGACUCGCUCCCAACAGGUCCUCCCCGCCCAGUACCUUCCUGCGCAGCGCCGCAGAUCACCUCAGCGCCGGACCCCAGCCGCCCCAGCCUCCUUCCGACCUGGUCACAGCUGCUCCGGGAGCGAAUCCUCCACCACCUCUGCUCUGCUCUCGUCUUAUCCCGCUAGCCCCCGGGCGGCCUCUCUUUCUCACCGCCGCCUCCCUUUUUGCCAACCCGGAAAUGGAUCUGCUCCCACCGUCCCCAGCGUCCGCGAACAAAAUGGAGGCGGGGGAAACCGGAGGAGGGAACAGGGGACGAAAAGACGGAAGCCGCACGCGCGCGGGAAGCCCGCCCCCUGGCGGCGCACCUAAAAGCGGAAGCGGCCAGAUCUUCCGCCAUCUUUGGAAGGUCGCAGGAAGUGGGGUUUGGGGCUUUGGCUGCAAUUGGAACCACCUGGGGAUCUUUAAAUGACUAGGGAUGCCAGAGUUCCAUCCUCUAGAGACUCUGAUUGAAUGGGGCCAGUGCAGCGUAGGCGUUGCGACUUUUUAAAAUUGCGCAGGUGAUUCUAACGUGUCGCCGAGGUGAAUAAACACCAGUUUCUUGGAUAUAC